GCACCCACAGCUAUCCAUAUAUUUUGGAGACUUACUGCAACUGUCAGGUGCGAGCACUAGAACAAGUCUGAAAGGAGGAAAUCAUGUCUGUUGAAACUGUUACUCUGUGAACUCAUACAUGCUGACAUGUAACGCCGUUGAUAUCUGCCGUGUCGCGUUUAUGAACCUGCUGUGUCCAACAGCACCUUAUUGAUUAUUAUGGAGGUAAAGGGACCAGAGGAAAUGCUAUUAAAGAUUAAAGGGUCAGGUGAUGUGAAGGUGGCAUUCAGAGUCAUCAGACACCAGCGGCUUCGGUUACAGGCUGUAAUGUUCACCCGUCAAGCAGAUUAGCCAGCUUGAUUUAUUUAUUACCUGAUGUCUUACCAUUUCCUACCCUCACUGACUGAAUAACUGAUUGACUGGGUGGCUGACUGCUUGCAUAGCUUAUGCGCCGUAGGUGAACUUCAAAAGGGAAGGGGAAGAUUAUGGAGUCACUCGGUGUCUAUUUACACAACACGCAGUCUGUAUUGCUUUUACAGUGCAAAGCUAAUAAAGAGAAAGGGGUUUGCUGUUUAACUGUAUAUAGAAGGGUUUUUCUUUGUUUUGUUUUUUUUGUUUUGUUAAAAUAUCAGGAUGGAAGAAACUUUUGGAAGCCUGUGAUAAUGUUUUCCCUUUUUUCAAUGUUAAAUUGAUAUAAAGUCAACAGUAGGGUCUAACGGUGUAUUGUAGCGUAACAAGCUCCAUUCAGGGCAGCCAUUAAAAAUCCUAAAACCGCGAUACGGCACCCAUAUAAUGUGAGUAUAAUAGAACUCUGGUAUUAUGAGGCCUAUCUGGGAUACAUCUCUGUACAGAGAGCCAAUGCACUGCCUGUCUGCGUCUUAUCUGAAGUGGCAAACUUGCUGUUCUAAUUGUUAUCUUCACACUAAUAGAGUGGAUGUUUUGAAAUCAUUUGGUUGGACGGAUAAAGGCUUGGCAAUUCCCCAAUGCUUACUGUCUCUGUCAGGGCUUAUCUGUAGGAGAUAGCUGGGUCCCUAAGAAUGAUUGGCAGGGUGCAGGAUGUACAAAAGUGUUGCAGUGUCUGAGAAAGGAGGCAGAGCAGACAUCCAAGGAAUUGUUGAGAAUUAGAAAAUGGCAUUAUUCGGGAGUUGCUAAAGUUGCUCCUACUUUUCCAGCAAAAUUGCAUUGAGGGAAGAAUCAUGUCAUUUAAUGUGAUAAUUAAUCUUAAACUCUUAUUGUUAAAAUAAUGAGUGAUGUUGGAUCAUCUGAGAGUGUGUGUUUGCAGAAACUGAUGAGUCUUUUUUUUAAGUAUUUUCUAAAAAAUAAAAAACUAAAGAUGCUCAAACACGCUGAAGUGUUUUGCUUCUUGCCACGACAGACUUAAGUUUUGGUGUACUUGGCAUCUGAUGUGACUCGCAUAAAACAAGAGGCUGAAAACUUAACCUGCCUGAGCGAAACACAACUUUCGGGUUUCACCACAUGCUGUCGGCUGCAGACCUCGGGGUGCUCUCCGUGACAUCAUUAGUUAAAGAACACAUGCCCCAUCUUCAUCAUCCUCCUCCUCCUCUAGCGGUCCUCUCUCAGCACUUAAUUGUGUCCACUCUGUCGGGGCUGGCGCGAUAAUAAAGCAUUAAGAGCCAUGCCUCGUUCAUUAAAGUGGAGUUGGGAAAUGUGAGACCGCCCCCUUUCAGGAGUUUAAAAAAAAAGAAAAGGGGGUAGAGAGAAAAAAAUCGAUUAUUUCUCCACGCAGGAGAGCAGAAGGUUUAGGGAAAGACUUGGUCGGGAUUGUGGUGAGGAACAGAAACAGCUUCGCAACAUCAAUAUCAAGCUUCAGACGUCCAGUACUAAUACCGGCACCACCUCCAACACAGCCGCUCCACCGAGUCCCUCGCCGCUCACCGGCACUACGCACUAGCAGACCAGACGGUGCGUCCUCAGUGCCUCCUGAGCGAGCUCUGUCGGAUCAGAGAGAGAGAGGGAGAGAGAGAGAGGAGAGAGAGAGAGAGAGAGAGGGUAGUUUUCUCUGACAUUAUAGGGACUCAUACCACGUAUUGUAGGUUACUUUUUUUUCCUCUCGGCGCCGUCCUCCUGCUUAGUUGCGCUCCUGGAUUUUAAGUGCGUCUCGGCGAACUCCGUCCCCCAUCAAGCUGCGGCUCCAACCUUCCUGUCAAACGGCCGGACCAAACACCCGGCGGACCGCUUGUUGUAGCCUUCUCUCGCUUCACUCGGGACAAGAUUUCAGAUAAAGUACAGAUGCUGGAAUCUUUGAGUUGAUUGAAACAAAUAGAAAGCAGGAAAAAAAAAGAAGAAAAGACAAAGCAAAGGAAGAGCGGAAACGUGAAGAGAAACGGGAGAGAGAGAAGAGAAGAAGAAAGAGAAGAGAGAAGAAAGCUUGAAGUUCUUUAGAAAGAGGAGAGAAAGAAAGAGACGGGGACGAUGGGGAGGAAAAAGAUUCAGAUCACGCGGAUUAUGGAUGAACGCAACAGACAGGUGACAUUUACAAAGAGAAAGUUUGGCCUGAUGAAGAAGGCGUAUGAGCUGAGCGUGCUGUGUGACUGUGAGAUUGCCCUGAUCAUCUUCAACAGCACCAACAAGCUGUUCCAGUAUGCCAGCACAGACAUGGACAAGGUCCUGCUUAAAUACACCGAGUACAAUGAGCCCCAUGAGAGCAGGACCAACUCUGAUAUCGUGGAGACAUUGAGAAAGAAGGGCCUAAACGGCUGUGACAGCCCAGAUCCCGACGCAGAUGACUCGGUUGGCCACAGCCCCGAGUCUGAGGACAAGUACAGGAAAAUAAACGAGGACAUUGAUCUGAUGAUCAGCAGACAGAGACUGUGUGCAUUGAGCAAGAAGGAGAACAAAGGUGGCGAGAGCCCGGAGCUCGAGUCCGCUCUCAUCCUCACCCCGCGCACUGAGGAGAAAUACAAACAGAUUAACGAAGAGUUUGAUCACAUGAUUAAAACUCAUAAGAUACCUCAGGCCGUGCCCCCAUCGAACUACGACAUGCCCGUGUCCAUUCCUGUUAGCAACCAGAACAAUCUCAUUUACAGCCAUCCCGGUGGAUCCCUAGGCAACCACAAUCUGUUGCCACUGGCACACCACGGCCUACAGAGAAACAGCAUGUCUCCUGGAGUUACACACAGACCCCCCAGUGCAGGAAAUGGAUAUGGGAACCACCGCAACUCUCCUGGUCUGCUGGUUUCUCCAGGUGGCAUGAACAAGAACAUGCAGACUAAGUCUCCCCCACCCAUGAACCUGGGCAUGAACAACCGCAAGCCUGACCUACGUGUGCUCAUCCCCCCUGGUGCCAAGAACAACAUGCCGUCCAUUUCUGAGGAUGUCGAUCUGCUAUUGAACCAGAGAAUAAACAACUCUCAGUCUGCUCAGUCACUGGCCACCCCAGUGGUAUCAGUAGCAACUCCUACUCUACCAGGACAAGGCAUGGGCGGUUAUCCAUCUGCCAUUUCUACUUCUUAUGGUACCGAGUACUCCCUGAAUAGCACAGACCUGUCCUCCCUGUCUGGCUUCAACAGUGGCAGCUCUCUACACCUUGGUUCAAUGAGUGGGUGGCAACAGCAACACCUUCAGAACAUGCAGCAUUCAGCGCUGGGCCAGCUAGGAAAUUGUUCUAGCUCUCACUUAUGUCAGGGUUCAAAUCUGUCCCUGCCCUCUGCUCAAAGCCUCCACAUCAAGUCCGAACCUGUUUCUCCUCCUAGAGAUCGCACCAGCAGCACACCGGGGGGCUACGGUGGCGGGGUGCCACCUCCCCAGAACCCCUCGUCCCGCCAGGACUCGGGACGCUCCCCUGUUGAUAGCCUGAGCAGUUGUAGCAGCUCCCAUGAGGGCAGCGACCGCGAUGAGCACAGGAAUGAGUUCCACUCACCUCUGGGACUGGCCCGGCCCGCCCUGGAUGAGCGUGAGAGCCCCUCCAUCAAACGGGUACGCCUGUCAGAAGGAUGGGCGACAUGAUUGCACUGUCCACACCUCUGCAGUGCCCCAAGUUGCCCCGAGCUCCCGACAAUGCAGCAUUACGAUGCCCCACAGUCAGCUCCCUCCUCUUCCUCCUCGCACUCGAUCUCAUGAGUCACUCACCGCCCAACCCCAUGGCCUCUCUCCUUUUUUCUCUUUAUUGCAGAAGGAAAGCAAAGGGACAACCCUUUCCAAAAAUCUGUUUGUAAUUUCUUUUCCUUAUUUUUUGUUCCUUGUUUUGAUUUUGCUGAGUGUGCGUGUGUGUGCGUGUUAUACAUAUUGACAUUAUAUAAAGCAGUUGGGUGUUGUAAUGGGGGCUUGGGAGGGUAGUUGUUGUUUGGGAUGGGAUCUGGGGGUAUAUUUGUUGGGGAACUAUGCAUAAAUUGUAUUGUGGAAAAAAAAAAGAAUCAUGUAUGCAUAUAUCUUUACACGUGCAACACGUGUGUACAGAUGUGCAUAUCAACAAAUACAAAAAAAAAAGGUCAGGUACUCUGUUUCAUAAAACGUACUUACAAUUUGCCCCAGUGCUAUAUCAGUGAAUAGAGACAAAAAAACAAAACAAAAAAAACAACAAAAAAAACAAGAUGAGCGUGAUUGUGUCCAGUGAAAAACACCUUAGCACUUGAGUUGGACAAACAAUACAUGUGUACAGUAUCAGUUUCAUUGCUAUAGACCUUCUCUGCAGUUUUACCUUGCAAAAAUGUGUGUUAACAUUAGAUGAUGUCAUGUUGCAGGUUCAACGUAUUUAUGUAAAUAGCGGGUCAAGGGGGUAAAAGGGCCUGGGGUCAAAAGUCGCCAGACAUUACAAGAUUUAUUUACUCACUAAAUGAAAAAGCUAUUAUGCAACAUUUGAAGGAUUGUACAGGUAAACGAGAAAACCCGAUGCUAGAUGUGUGGAACCCUUGAUCGUUUUCGUGCUCCCCUUAAAGAACGGAGUGAGGACCACUCUUUGAUCUAAGAGCUAUGUCGGCGUAAUCAAGAAAAUCUCUGGAUCUAGUAUUAACUAUUCAGUAUUGAUAAACAAAAAAAAGAGAAAAAAACAAUUGUACAAUACACUUGCUUAUAUUUUCAUAUGAAAGGAAUAAAAUGCAAAGCAUUUUUGUGGCUUUUUGUAGUUUCUAUAAGCCAGAAUGUGUUUUUUGAUAGCUUUGCCAAUAAGAGAUGGAUAGUUCACCCAGAGGGGAAAUGACAGGGCUUCAAGCCCCCAAGCCAUGAAAAACAGACUGAGAUCCAAUGCUUUGCUGAACUGUUUAAUCUUUGUAGAGGUUUGUUUUUAAACGUGUAUUUCUUAUUAUAUAUAAUAAUGGUAAUAUUAAGAAUCUUUUAAAAAAAAUCUGUGAAAUUAACAUGCUUGUGUAUAGCUUUCUAAUAUAUAAAUAUAUAUAAUAAUGAUUUUUUGUUGGUUUCUUAGUGAAGUUUCUAUGUGCUGUUGCACAUGUUGUCUGGUUUGUUUCAUUUUAACUCUGAACAGGGCUGUUUGGGCGGGGUGUUUAGACUAACCUUAAAAACCAGCUGGAAAGCAUUGCCAGGGUUGAAGCCUGAAUGCUGAAAAACCUAAUUUCUAGUGGAAAAUGUCACGAGGCUGAAUCUGGAGACGACACAGAAAUAAAUGUUGACACGUAACGUACACGAUUGUCACACUGAUGAGGAAAUAUGACAGAGCCGCAGUCUCCGGAUGCAUUUUUAUGCAUCCCGAUAUUUCGUUAGGAGUCCAAAUUAUUAUAAUUUAAUAGUCACAGUCAUAAAACAUAGAUUUGACCUCAUCGAUUUUGAAUACCACCUUCAAUUUUCAACCCAGUCUACCUUGUGUUCGAGAUGCCGCUCAGACGCAAACUGUAAAAUCUUCCUUUGAAUCGCAUUAACGUAAUGCGAUUUAUGCAUCGUGAUUAAGUACUCUUGUUUUCAAACCUAAUUUAAUUCUGUGUCGCUCCAGUCUCGAAAACAGGGUUCCACAUCCUUUACCACACUGUCGCAGACAGUUCAGCGUAAGACACAAAACAGAACAAACUGAUCAUGCUGGUAUGGGAGAAGCACAAUUGUUUAUUCUUGAUGAAUAGCUUUGAUUUUCUCUUUUUUAAACAAUGAAACUAGCCACAUAUCUCUCCGCCUCCCACACCCGUAUCUGCUGUCACUUAAGUGUUAUGAUAUUUCUAUGUGCAUAUUUCAUGCAGGUUCACUAGGUUGUUACUGUAUACAGUCUGUGUAGUCAAAUGGGGCAGAGCCUCUAUAACAGUGUUUUUCUUCUUCUUCUUUUUUUUAAACUUCAAUAGAAAAAAAAAGGUUGGGAAAAAAAUAAACAUGAUGUUUCAGGCAGCGUAAGUGUGGAGAAACCAAAGCCAGUGGCAUUUCUGUGUUGUAAAGUCAGCUUUUAUUUUCACAUUCAUUUAUGGGUUUUUUUUUUCUUUUGCAAGCAUUGAAACAAGAUAAUAAAAGAUUCUGCUUAAAUUCACAACUGUUUUCACAUUUCACUUUCAGUUAGUUAUUGUAGCUUUAGCCAUCAAACUGCAUUGUCCAUAGGAAUCGUAUUAAUUUACCUGUUUUCUUGUUCAUUUGUCUCCCUGUGCAGCGUAUCGAAAAAGGUUACAUGGGAAAAAAAAACAAAAAGAAAAGGAAAAACGCAUUUUCUAUUUACAAUUUGUUACUUAACUCGGAAUCAUUCAGGCCCGUGUGAAAGCACUACUUGUUUUUCACUUCAUCAAUCAACAUUACACACUGCUUGCUCGCUGAAGAAAAUAAUGCCAACAUGUCCUGACAGUUAAUUAGAGUGCUAUAGUUUUGACAGUAUUUUUAACCAAAGACAUGGAGAAAGCUUGUCUUUAUAUCUUUGAUGUUGUUUUUUCUUCUUCUUCUUUCUACGUUUGUUCAAUUUGAAGCCAAUUUUUUUCUUCAUCUGUUGAUCAGUUGUUCUUUGUCAUUACUAUAUCAGACUAAAUGUUGGUACCUCAAAAUUGACCCAAGCAGUACCUCAGCUGAUUUUUUGAUAAGUCACUUAACGUGCAAAGGGGAGACCAUUCACCUGUACAGCCAUGUGUAAUAACAAUUGCUUAAGGUCCCAACAUUCACAUGCUACGGGAUUCUUUGUUGCUCCUCUGUGUUUGUGGUUUAUUUAAGUUGUACUCAAAAGCUGAAAUUAAAAAAAAAAAAAGAGUAAUAUGUUAAAAUACUUAAAAAGUCAGUCUGUAGUAUCAAUGUAGCUUGUAUAAACCUGAUGAUGGGGGGGACGUUUGUAACUAAGGUUUUUUGGAAUGCAGGAGCGGCUUUCAGCGGCAUAAGCUGGCCUUUGUCGCCACUUGAGACUAAGAUGGUAUUAAAUUAAAAUCACAUCUCUGUAACUCAAGGGACUUGAUUCAGCUGUAUGUAGUGAAAACGUAUGGGGAUGAAAUAAAAGUCUCCUCUGCAGGAGGGAAAGGCUAUUUGUAUUUUGCAGAGAUUUCAGUAAAGUUACUGGCUUUCUUAGUUA